rnacentral:rRNA from 1 species
CUAGGUGGGCCAGGCGACGGUUGUCCUGGUGAAAGUGCGUAGGUGGUGUUUCCAGGCAAAUCCGGAGACACAACACUGAGACACGAGACGAACACACUACGGUGUGGAAGCCAUUGAUGCCCUGCUUCCAGGAAAAGCCUCUAAGCUUCAGAUUACAAGUCAUCGUACCCCAAACCGACACAGGUGGUCGGGUAGAGAAUACCAAGGCGCUUGAGAGAACUCGGGUGAAGGAACUAGGCAAAAUAGAACCGUAACUUCGGGAGAAGGUUCGCUCUUGACAGUGAAGUCCCUUGCGGAUGGAGCAGUUGGGAGUCGCAGUGACCAGAUGGCUGGGACUGUUUAUCAAAAACACAGCACUCUGCAAACACGAAAGUGGACGUAUAGGGUGUGACACCUGCCCGGUGCCGGAAGGUUAAUUGAUGGGGUUAGCGCAAGCGAAGCUCUUGAUCGAAGCCCCGGUAAACGGCGGCCGUAACUAUAACGGUCCUAAGGUAGCGAAAUUCCUUGUCGGGUAAGUUCCGACCUGCACGAAUGGUGUAACCAUGGCCAUGCUGUCUCCACCCGAGACUCAGUGAAAUCGAAUUCGCCGUGAAGAUGCGGUGUACCCGCGGCUAGACGGAAAGACCCCGUGAACCUUUACUACAGCUUGGCACUGAACAUUGAACCUACAUGUGUAGGAUAGGUGGGAGGCUUUGAAGGCGUGACGCCAGUUGCGCUGGAGCCGUCCUUGAAAUACCACCCUUGUAUGUUUGAUGUUCUAACGCAGGGCCCUGAAUCGGGCUCGCGGACAGUGCCUGGUGGGUAGUUUGACUGGGGCGGUCUCCUCCCAAAGAGUAACGGAGGAGCACGAAGGUUGGCUAAUCCUGGUCGGACAUCAGGAGGUUAGUGCAAUGGCAUAAGCCAGCUUAACUGCGAGACGGACAGGUCGAGCAGGUACGAAAGUAGGUCAUAGUGAUCCGGUGGUUCUGAAUGGAAGGGCCAUCGCUCAACGGAUAAAAGGUACUCCGGGGAUAACAGGCUGAUACCGCCCAAGAGUUCAUAUCGACGGCGGUGUUUGGCACCUCGAUGUCGGCUCAUCACAUCCUGGGGCUGAAGUCGGUCCCAAGGGUAUGGGAGUUGCUCCUAGUACGAGAGGACCGGAGUGAACGAACCUCUGGUGUUCGGGUUGUCACGCCAGUGGCACUGCCCGGUAGCUAAGUUCGGAAUCGAUAACCGCUGAAAGCAUCUAAGCGGGAAGCGAGCCCUGAGAUGAGUCAUCCCUGACCCCUUGAGGGUCCUAAAGGGCCGUUGGAGACCACAACGUUGAUAGGUGGGGUGUGUAAGCGCAGUGAUGUGUUGAGCUAACCCAUACUAAUUACCCGUGAGGCUUAACCAUACAACACCCAAGAAGUGUUCUG